AUUGAACGCUGGCGGCAGGCUUAACACAUGCAAGUCGAACGAGUGGCGGACGGGUGAGUAAUGUAUGGGGAUCUGCCCGAUAGAGGGGGAUAACUACUGGAAACGGUGGCUAAUACCGCAUACUAUCGGAUGAACCAAUAUGGGAUUAGGUAGUUGGUGAGGUAAAGGCUCACCAACCGAAGAUCUAUAGCUGGUCUGAGAGGAUGACCAGCCACACUGGGACUGAUACACGGCCCAGACUCCUACGGGAGGCAGCAGUGGUGAAUAUUGCGCAAUGGGGGCAACCCUUCCGCAGCCAUGCCGCGUGAAUGAAGAAGGCCUUCGGGUUGUAAAGUUCUUUCGGUAGCGAGGCGUUAACUACAGAAGAAGCACCGGCUAACUCCGUGCCAGCCGCCGCGGUAAUUC
rnacentral:rRNA from 1 species